GCAACCAGGACUUUCAGACAUGA
rnacentral:piRNA from 1 species